rnacentral:rRNA from 1 species
CGGUGUUCAACUGGCGUGCCCGCGGGACGUCCUGCCGGUGAGCUCAGCCCGCGAGGGCGGCUCAACUUGAAAUCCCAUCGCGGUGCUCUUCAUUGAGUGUCGAGGUGGGCCGGCACGAUUACUUUUGAACAAAUUAGAGUGCUUAAAGCAGGCUAAAAUUUUGCCUGAAUACUGUGUAUAUGGAAUAAUGGAAUAGGACCUCGGUUCUAUUUUGUUGGUUUUCGGAACCCCGAGGUAAUGAUUAAUAGGAACGGAUGGGGGCAUUCGUAUUGCGACGUUAGAGGUGAAAUUCUUGGAUCGUCGCAAGACGGACUAAAGCGAAAGCAUUUGCCAAAAACGCUUUCAUUGAUCAAGAACGAAAGUUAGAGGUUCGAAGGCGAUCAGAUACCGCCCUAGUUCUAACCAUAAACUAUGCCAGCUAGCGAUCCGCCGACGUCCCUCUGAUGACUCGGCGGGCAGCUUCCGGGAAACCAAAGCUUUUGGGUUCCGGGGGAAGUAUGGUUGCAAAGCUGAAACUUAAAGGAAUUGACGGGAAGGGCACCACCAGGAGUGGAGCCUGCGGCUUAAUUUGACUCAACACGGGAAACCUCACCAGGCCCAGACACUGGAGGAUUGACAGAUUGAGAGCUCUUUCUUGAUUCAGUGGGUGGGUGGUGGCAUGGGCCGUUCUUAGUCGGUGGGAGCGAUUUGUCAGGUUAAUUCCGAUAACGGACGAGACUCUGACCUGAUAACUAGACGCACUGCGCAUCUCAAAGGUCGCCGGCGGCUGGCUUGCGCCCGUCGUCGCGCGCGAUUUUUACUGCCGCGUACAAUAAUCUCUUAGAGGGACAAGUG